rnacentral:ncRNA from 2 species
UUCUUGCGUCGCGACUGGCGUCUGGGUGGGUCACCACCGGGGAGCGGCUCUGAGGAUUCGACCGCGCGCCUGGGCCGAUGAG